rnacentral:rRNA from 1 species
GRGAGWAGCUGAAGGUACUWWACGAAUAAGCACCGSCUAAYUCCGUGCCAGCAGCSGCGGUAAUACGGAGGGUGCAAGCGUUAUCSGGAUUUAUUGGGUUUAAAGGGUCCGUAGGCGGAUCUGUAAGUCAGUGGUGAAAUCUCACAGCUUAACUGUGAAACUGCCAUUGAUACUGCAGGUCUUGAGUGUUGUUGAAGUAGCUGGAAUAAGUAGUGUAGCGGUGAAAUGCAUAGAUAUUUACUUAGAACACCAAUUGCGAAGGCAGGUUACUAAGCAACAACUGACGCUGAUGGACGAAAGCGUGGGGAGCGAACAGGAUUAGAUACCCUGGUAGUCCACGCCGUAAACGAUGCUAACUCGUUUUUGGGUUUUCGGAUUCAGAGACUAAGCGAAAGUGAUAAGUUAGCCACCUGGGGAGUACGAACGCAAGUUUGAAACUCAAAGGAAUUGACGGGGGCCCGCACAAGCGGUGGAUUAUGUGGUUUAAUUCGAUGAUACGCGAGGAACCUUACCAAGGCUUAAAUGGGAAAUGACAGGCUUAGAAAUAGGCUUUUCUUCGGACAUUUUUCAAGGUGCUGCAUGGUUGUCGUCAGCUCGUGCCGUGAGGUGUUAGGUUAAGUCCUGCAACGAGCGCAACCCCUGUCACUAGUUGCCAUCAUUAAGUUGGGGACUCUAGUGAGACUGCCUACGCAAGUAGAGAGGAAGGUGGGGAUGACGUCAAAUCAUCACGGCCCYUACGCCUUGGGCCACACACGUAAUACAAUGGCCGGUACAGAGGGCAGCUACACUGCGAAGUGAUGCAAAUCUSGAAAGCCGGUCUCAGUUCGGAUUGGAGUCUGCAACUCGACUCUAUGAAGCUGGAAUCGCUAGUAAUCGCSCMUCAGCCAUGGCGCGGUGAAUACGUUCCCGGGCCUUGUACAGCCCYCCCCUCAAGCCMUGGAAGUCUGGSSU